AUAUAAAAAUUCCAACAUACUUUAUGGAAGCGGAUCGGUUGGCAAAGAAAGAAAGAAAGAAAAAUCAUUGAGCUGCGUGCGACACAAUGCGUGCAACUGGGCAUAUAGAGAGCGCAAUGUUGGAAGCUGUGCUCGUGGAUACUUGAGUAACUUUAGGUACGCGACGCGUUGAUUAUGAUAAUACUUGAUGAAUGAAACCAAAUGAUUUAGCUUAAGCUCAUAUUGCAUGGGGGAGCGCAGAAAUAAAUGAGAUCAAAUGCCAUUGAGCUGUAGUGAAGCAAUUGAAAGUUCACAAAAUAGGUUGCUUCCUGUGCAGGCGAACCUGCCUUAUUCUGGAAAACUAUAUCAUUAGUUCACAAAUCACCGUAAAGCAAUGCACUGAACUCCUCCGAAUCAGGCUUGUUCCGGCUGUAUACAAACAAUUCUUCUUAUAGGUGCUGUUAAACUCAAGACUAUCAAGACCCACCAAAUGAUCCAUGUUCCUAAUCUACAUCUACAUCUUCAUUAAACAAAUUAUAAUUUGAAGCGAGAUUUAAUCGUGAGUGGACCUAACACCUACAACAUAACCAAUAUAAAUAUACAAAAGACU
rnacentral:sRNA from 1 species